UUUGACAGUGCUAUGCUUCAUUGUGAAUGUGUCCACCAGGAUUUCUUUGGCCAGUGGAAGAACCAGACCACAGAAAAUUAGGUAGGCAUCUGGAAGGUGCUGCUACGCUAAAGCCAGCCCAGGCCAGUGAAUAAGGAAUACGAUACAGAGGUUUCAGCCAUAAAACUUGGGACAGGUGAUGAAAAUAUAUUUCAUUUUUAUGUGAAAAGAUAUUUUUCUCCCCGGUAUUUGCGAGCAUCUGACAUAAGGUGACUGAGCCUCCCCAUUUGCUCUGAAAGCUGCGGAUGAUAUCCUAGAACAACUGACAAAGUGCUGGCAGGAAGUUGAGAAGUUUCUAAGAAUUCUUCGACAUUCCUGACUUCUUGCCGAUUAAGGGCCUGCCAAGUCAAGAAGCACACAAGGCUGCUCAUGGCAAAGUGUUUGUUUCAAUAUUUAGCAGCAUUUUCUCAAGUGGAUCAGAAGGACCAGCUGGAGAACACAAGACAUUUGGCAGGUGAAGUUGGUUGUUGAGCUCUUGUUCACUUGGUUUGGAUUUGGUAAGAUUUAGUCCCAGAACUCAAUAAUGAUGUCAGCCUCAUAGAGAAAUCUGCUGUAGAAGGAAAGAAUGAAGCUCAUAUUCACAAAGAAGCAGAAUGGAUAAGUUGGGGAAAAGAACAGCCUGACAAAUUUUGAGUCUCUGAAUCCACAUGAUUUUGAGACUAGUCUUACUUCUCUCUUUUAUGUUCUU